AAAAUUUUGACAAUUAACUCUUUUUAUAAAAUAAAAUGAGUCAAUUGUCACGAUAUUAAUAGACAACAACUCACUAGGUUACCUCCCUCCACUUAUCAAGACGUAAUGUAAAAUUUCUUAACAGAAUACCAUGAGAUUCCAAAAAUUACGUCAGUGACGAAGGGAGCGCUGUUACUGCGUAGUGGACUCACGGAUUAACAAUUCAGUCACAUAUCUAUAUAUUUGUGAAGUAUAAAGGUUAUACAGGAUUGGAGAUAAAGAAGACCCUUGCAUCAACCCCUUGAAUGCUAAUUUUGGACCAUGAAAAACAUUAUUGUAUUUAAUGCAUAAAGAACGACCAUAAUACAUAUGGAAAAUCCAUUUUAAAAGCUUUCCUGGGAAGCCCAAGGAAUAUAGCACCCUAAUUAAUUGGAGAAGAUCUACAUUAUCAUAUGCCCCCUGAACAUCAAGGAAAACACAAAUUGCAGUAGAACCUGAUAACAAACACUUCUUCAUAUCAGUCAGCCUCGGCACAAGUAUCAUUCCACCAAGGAGCUGGAGGAGCAGACUUUUUACUAGAAGAUUUAUGCUUUAACAAUGGAACACAGUUUUCUUUUAAACUAAGUAGUAAUUUAGAAAAUUCAUCAUAUUGAACUAAAGGAUCAAUUGUUGAAGGAGAAAAUUUAUCAAAUAUAUCUUUGGAUUUGUCAUUGUACAUA